UCAAGCUAUUAAGAGCAUAGGGCGGAUGCCUUGGCACCAGGAGCCGAUGAAGGACGUGAUAAGCUGCGAUAAGCCACGGGUAGGCGCAAAUAGCCAUCGAUCCGUGGAUUUCCGAAUGGGGGAACCCACCAGAGGUAAACUCUCUGGUACCUGUACAUGAAUCCAUAGUGUGCAGGGGGGAUACGCAGGGAACUGAAACAUCUAAGUACCUGCAGGAAAAGAAAUCAACCGAGAUUCCGUAAGUAGUGGCGAGCGAACGCGGAGGAGCCUAAACCGUACCAGGGAACAGAGGACAGAAGAGGAAAGAUUCUGUUUUCUGUUCUCUGGUACGGGGUAAUGGACUGGCAAAAUGAUUCUGAGCGCAUAGCAGAAUGAGACACUGGAACGUGUAGACCAUAGAGGGUAAAAGUCCCGUAUGCGAAAUGUGCGAAGACAGGCCAGUAUCCGGAGUACCACGAGGCACGAGGAACCUUGUGGGAAGUCGGGGGGACCACCCUCCAAGGCUAAAUACUACCUGGUGACCGAUAGUGAAGCAGUACCGUGAGGGAAAGGUGAAAAGAACCCCGGGAGGGGAGUGAAAGAGAACCUGAAACCCUAUGUUUACAAGCAGUUGGAGAGCGUUAAAGCUCGACAGCGUACUUUUUGUAGAACGGUCCGGCGAGUUAUUGUAUGUGGCGAGGUUAAGGACUGAAGGUCCGGAGCCGCAGGGAAGCCGAGUCUUAACAGGGCGUUAAGUCACAUGCAAUAGACCCGAAACCGGGUGACCUAUCCAUGGCCAGGUUGAAACGAGAGUAAAAUCUCGCGGAGGACCGAACCCACCGAUGUUGAAAAAUCGGGGGAUGAGCUGUGGAUAGCGGUGAAAUGCCAAUCGAACCCGGAGAUAGCUGGUUCUCCCCGAAAUAGCUUUAGGGCUAGCCUCAGGUUAUAGUCUGACGGAGGUAAAGCACUGAAUGGGCUAGGGGCCUUACCGGGUUACCGAACCCUAUCAAACUCAGAAUGCCGUACAGAUGUUACCUGGGAGUCAGACUACGAGAGAUAAGUUCCGUAGUCGAGAGGGAAACAGCCCAGACCAUCAGCUAAGGUCCCGAAAUCACGAUUAAGUGGGGAAGGAUGUGGGUUUGCUAAGACAACUAGGAUGUUGGCUUAGAAGCAGCCAUUCAUUUAAAGAGUGCGUAAUAGCUCACUAGUCGAGUGAGCCUGCGCCGAAAAUUACCGGGGCUAAAUCGUGUACCGAAGCUAUGGAUUCCAGAAAACAGUGAACAGAGGUCAGAGAACAGAGGGCGUGUAGUAAUGAUAGAAAGUUUCAGGGAUUUGAAAGUAUACCAGAAAGCGUAUAAGGUUUCACUGAGACUUCACGAAAUAUCAUUAAAGCUGCCCGGAUUUGAAAAACAUGAACUGGGAAGUCAGAUAAGAAGAGCAUCAAAGUCAGUAGCAAUGAAUAUUGCCGAAGGAUACGCAAGAAAUGUAUCAACAGCUGACACAAAAAGAUUCUUCACGAUGGCACUGGGUUCAUGUGAAGAGGUAAGAGUGCAAAUCGACUACCUCAAGGACCUCGGAUAUAUCACUGACGAAGUGAAAGAAGAGCUGGAGAAGGAGUAUACACAGAUAGGGAAGAUGCUUGUAGCUAUGAUCCGGAAAUGGAAAUAGCUGCGGAGCCUGAACUUAAUCUGUUCUCUGGAUUCUGUUCACUGUUUACUGGAGUGGUAGGGGAGCUUACUGCGACAGGCAGAAGGUCGACCGAGAGGACGGCUGGACGAGGCAGUAGUGAGAAUGCCGGAAUGAGUAGCGAGAGUAAAGUGAGAAUCUUUACCGUCGAAAGCCUAAGGUUUCCUGGGGAAGGCUCGUCCGCCCAGGGUAAGUCGGGACCUAAGCCGAGGCCGAAAGGCGUAGGCGAUGGACAACAGGUUGAAAUUCCUGUACUGCCGUUACUCGUUUGAGAGAGGUGGGGACGCAGGGGGAAUAGUUAAGCGAGCGACUGGAAGAGCUCGUCCAAGGGAGAUAGAUAGUCCGGCAGGCAAAUCCGCCGGAUGUUUCGAAGUCCUGAUGGGGAGGGAAAAUAAAGUACCGAAGUAACGAUUUCCGCACUGACGAGAAAAGCCACUAUCGAGAGUAAAGGUACCCGUACCGCAAACCGACACAGGUAGGUGAGGAGAGAAUCCUAAGACGAGCGGGAGAAGCGUUGUUAAGGAACUCGGCAAAUUGACCCCGUAAGUUCGCGAGAAGGGGUGCCAAGGCCAGAGAACGGAGAACAGAGAGUCAGAGAGCAGAGAAAGGGAAGAAGGACGAUCUGUUUUCAACAGAAGAAAGAAACGGAGAUAAAAAAGCAUCAUAUCUGUUUUCUGGAGAUCUGUUCUCUGUUUUCUGGAAUUGGCCGCAGUGAAACGGCCCGAGCAACUGUUUAUCAAAAACACAGGUCUCUGCUAAAUCGAAAGAUGACGUAUAGGGGCUGACGCCUGCCCGGUGCUGGAAGGUUACGGGGAAUUGUUAGCCUAAAGGCGAAGCAAUGAACUUAAGCCCCAGUAAACGGCGGCCGUAACUAUAACGGUCCUAAGGUAGCGAAAUUCCUUGUCAGGUAAGUUCUGACCCGCACGAAUGGCGUAAUGACUUGGGCACUGUCUCGACAACGCGCCCGGUGAAAUUGUAGUACUCGUGAAGAUGCGAGUUACCCGCGACAAGACGGAAAGACCCCAUGGAGCUUUACUGUAGCCUGAUAUUGGGUUUCGGUAUUUUUUGUACAGGAUAGGUGGGAGACUGAGAAGCGUGGGCGCCAGCUUACGUGGAGUCGUCGUUGGGAUACCACUCUAAAAGUGCUGGGACUCUAACCAGAGUCUGUGAACCAGGCUUGGGACACUGUCAGGUGGGCAGUUUGACUGGGGCGGUCGCCUCCUAAAAGGUAACGGAGGCGUCCAAAGGUUACCUCAGCGCGGUUGGAAAUCGCGCACCGAGUGCAAAGGCAUAAGGUAGCCUGACUGUGAGAGGUACAUCUCGAGCAGGUACGAAAGUAGGGCUUAGUGAUCCGGUGGUAUGAAAGUGGAAUUGCCAUCGCUCAACGGAUAAAAGCUACCCUGGGGAUAACAGGCUUAUCUCCCCCAAGAGUCCACAUCGACGGGGAGGUUUGGCACCUCGAUGUCGGCUCAUCGCAUCCUGGAGCUGAAGUAGGUUCCAAGGGUUUGGCUGUUCGCCAAUUAAAGCGGUACGCGAGCUGGGUUCAGAACGUCGUGAGACAGUUCGGUCCCUAUCUGUCGCGGGCGCAGGAUAUUUGAAGGGAUCUGUCCUUAGUACGAGAGGACCGGGAUGGACAAACCUCUGGUGCACCAGUUGUCACGCCAGUGGCAUAGCUGGGUAGCCAAGUUUGGACGGGAUAAACGCUGAAGGCAUCUAAGCGUGAAGCCCACCCUGAGAUGAGAUAUCCCACCUUUUAAGGGUAAGACCCCAUGUAGACUACAUGGUAGAUAGGCCAGAGGUGUAAGUGCAGUAAUGUAUUUAGCUGACUGGUACUAAUAGGUCGAGGGCUUGACCAA
rnacentral:rRNA from 1 species